CUCUUUUUUAUUGAACGAAGUUUUGUGAUUUAUGCCAGAUUGACAUUGUCGUAUCAAUUUUAGUUGAUAAUAAGUAAUAAUUACAUGAACCGAAUGGGAAUAGAAACGGCGCAAUUUCAGAUUGUAAACUUUUGUUCUCAUUAGUCAGAAAAGCGAAACAGUACACAACAGAUCACUGAAUUCUCAAUAAAAUUGGAGUGAGAAUAGACCGAAUGAUUUCACCUCGAUUUUCAAUCACAUGCAAUGGAGCGACGACACAUACAUUUUCUAGCACUCUUCUUGGUACUCCAUUUAAGCGAUUUGGCAUCGUCUUUGGAUUUAAGCAGGAUUGAUGUUCUGAAUCCAGUGAAACACGGUCAUCCACUCUGUUUGAAAUGUGUAUAUCGCAUAAAUCGCGGCGAGGUAUUCCAAGGUGUAAGAUGGUACAGAGAUGACGAAAUAAUUUAUAGCUACGCCAUUGGAAUUGAAAAUUGGUUCGGAAAUCGGAGGAAUUAAAAGUCGGAGCCACACAAAUAUAUAUACAACACGGAUGAAUUUGAAAUUGAUGCAAGUAUUCAUGCUUAUUUACACUAGUAAGAAUGUCACAUUCAUUUUUAUGUGAUUUUAAAUGUAGGAAGAUAAUGAUAAAUCUAAUGCUACGACAGUUUAUUUUGAUAAUGUGGAACCGAGUGUUUCUGGAAGAUUUAAAUGUGAGGUGCGAGUAACUGAACCAGUUUUCAAAAUCAAGAGUGCGUCUCGUCGUGUUGUUGUUGCACGUGAUAAAUCCAAACCGAAGUGGUAUGAUUUUCCAGUGCCAGAUGAAUUUAAAAAUGAUCCAAAUUUUCAAGACUGAUUCGAAUGAGACAACGAUGACCAAUAGUGAAACUCUAAGAAGAAUUCAGUGCUUCAACGAAUUUAGUGAAUAAAAAAAUACCAACGAAUUUUAUACCUACUGUCAAUUCAAAUCUAUAUUCGAUUAUUAUGAAUAUUGCGAGUGACAGCAAGUUCAACGAAUUUUUUUUUAUAUUCGUAUGGGAAAAUGUUCCGGUUGAUUGCAUGUAACUCCGCUUUAGUUUAAAUACGCUCACUUUUUAAUCUACAAUGUAAACGUAUCAAUAUGAAUGAAUUAUCUGUGCUUAAUACACUUGGGUUGGUAUAAUGUAAAUGUAAUUGAGUUUUGCGACUAAUUUUGUACACAUUACUCUGAGAAGCGAAUCAACUCGGAUCAUAAUUGUGGUUGGGGGAAAUUAAAUACAAAAAAAUUUCAAUCAAACUGCACAACAUUUUUGUGCCGAAAAUAUGACGCAACGAAACUUCAUUCUAUCCACACUUUUGUUCAUCCUAUUUCUCAAUGAUUGUGCAUUACCGGUAAGUAUGUAUGGCAUAUAUUUACCAAACGACCGUGGAACGGAAACCUGCUUGACCUGUGUCUACUACUAAGAUUCCGGUGAUACACUUAACGCAGUCAAUUGGUAUCGGAAUGAUGAGCUUUUUUAUAGCUUCUAUGCAAAUGAUGUCAGCCCCUUGAAGUGGGUUCAUAGGAAAUUUGAUGACUUUCAACUCGACGAGGCCAACACCGAUCAUGUGGAAGUGUGCAUGACUAACAUCUUUCCAAGCGCUGGUGGCUAUUACAAAUGUGAAAUAACAACAAAAGGAGCAAAUUUCGAAGAAUACAGUACUGAAGCGUUGUUGGAUGACCUUGUGCCAACCAGGAAUUUCAAAAAAAGUCGAGGAAGAAGCUAAAUAUGGAUAAUUUAGAUAUUUUGUGGUCCUAAUGGGAAUAUCGUUGAAUUCAUUCCUUUUGACAACUUGUUUCGAAACAAUCUGAUUUUAUUCAUACAUCAUGAAAUGAGAAUUAUUUUUUCAAAUCCA